CAGCCGCCGCGGGAAUACGUAGGUCCCGAGCGUUGUCCGGAUUUAUUGGGCGUAAAGCGAGCGCAGGCGGUUAGAUAAGUCUGAAGUUAAAGGCUGUGGCUUAACCAUAGUACGCUUUGGAAACUGUUUAACUUGAGUGCAAGAGGGGAGAGUGGAAUCCCAUGUGUAGCGGUGAAAUGCGUAGAUAUAUGGAGGAACACCGGUGGCGAAAGCGGCUCUCUGGCUUGUAACUGACGCUGAGGCCCGAAAGCGUGGGGAGCAAACAGGAUUAGAUACCCCCGUAGUCCCUGUCUCUUAUACA
rnacentral:rRNA from 1 species